ACCGACCGAAAUGAGGGGUUGUCCGUGCACUUCCGGGGUCAAUUGCAGCUGCCCAACGGUCACGCACGGCGACAAAAUGGCCGGGUCGCUACACACCGCGAACGCGCGUAACAAUUAUUAUAAUAUUACUGCAACGUUUUUUUUUUUUUUUUCUUAUAUUUCCAACGUCCGUCCGGAAACAGUUUACAAUAAUAUCGUGGCGCGCGCGUAAACGGUCCGAUGUCCGCGCCGUUCGGUUUCACGCGUUACGCACGCCGCGAUUUCCAUUCCCGUGUCGUUCUUUACUCACGGCCGCCGCUGUUGUCGGCUAAAUCUUCGUGGCCGACGGAACACCGAGGUAGGACCGGCGGCGUGCCCGACCGUGCUUAGCUCGAAGGGCCGUUGUAGCUCACAUAGUUAUUAUGGUGGAGGACGGGUACUGGCCGAUGAGGCGAUGCCGAACACUGAACAAACGUUGCUAAAAAUAAACAGUCGAAAUUAGUAGAAAAUCGUAUAUUUCCGUUAGGUCAGGUUAGGUUAGCGUUGGGCGACCGUACGUCCCGUGUUAUAUAGAAUCGUCCCGUGUUUCAACUUUUUGUCCCGUCGUCCCGACGAGAUUUAUACGGGACGCUAUUUUAUCUUAAUGUUAAAGUUGAAAUUUACGACAAUAUAUUUAAUAAAAUCUACUUUACAAUGGUAUUUGUGGGUUAUUGUUUCGACCCAUCUGGCGGGUAUAUUGUGUUACUCACAGUAUACUAUGAUAAUAACAAAUGACCACAUUUUAAAAACGGUUGUAAUACGUUUUACAAUGUUUUUUUCGAAAAAUAAUAAAUCGACACGAUUAGUUCAGCACAAAAGUUUCGUACAAAACAGCAGAAGAAGGAAUUCACCGACAGCCAUCGUGAAAUUUAAAUUGUCUUUGUAUACACAUAUUUUAUCUAUAGGUAUUGAAAAACCUUUAUAUAACUCACAUUUAUUUUGUUCUUGUCCCUUAUUUUAAUUUCGUUUUGUGGUCACACUUGAUCAACCCAUCAGACCCUUAUUGCCUAACUAAAAACUAACCAGACUAAAAUUAUUACCUUCCGACUAUUUGUAGACAUGAUGGCAAAAAUAAGUGACCACGUGUUAAAAAUUUCAGGUGACUAUCAAUAAUAUCCUCCCGUAAUUAAACAAUUAGUUGGGAAGUGAAUCACGAAGAGAUUAUACAAUCAAACAAUUAUAAAAUUAAACUUUUAUUUUUCGUAAAAUAUUCCAGUAAAAACUUUAGGCAAAAAUUUAUAUGUAUAUUGUUGUAAAAUAUUUAAUUUAUUUUAAUUUUAUUUCGGUAUUAAUUUAUAUUUAUUAUAUUGUAGUAUUAUUUUCAGGAUUACAGCUGAUAAAUCUUGUUUUAAAAAGUAGU